AUACGUAGGGAGCGAGCGUUGUCCGGAAUUACUGGGCGUAAAGGGCGCGUAGGCGGCGCUUCAAGUCGUCUGUCAAAUGGGAGGGCUUAACCCUUUUUCGCAGACGAAACUGGAGAGAUUGAGAAGCAGAGAGGCAAACAGAAUUCCUGGUGUAGCGGUGAAAUGCGUAGAUAUCAGGAAGAAUACCAGUGGCGAAGGCGGUUUGCUGGCUGCAUACUGACGCUGAAGCGCGAAAGCCAGGGGAGCAAACGGGAUUAGAUACCCCGGUAGUCCUGGCAGUAAACGAUGUAUGCUGGGUGUGAGACUAGCGAUAGUUUCGUGCCGAAGUUAACGCGAUAAGCAUACCGCCUGGGGAGUACGGUCGCAAGAUUGAAACUCAAAGGAAUUGACGGGG
rnacentral:rRNA from 1 species